AGAGAUCAGUGUGUGGACACAAGAGCUGGAGAUUCACACAGAAUGAGGUGAACUUUCUGUGUGUUUGUGCUUUGGAAAGAGAGACUGUAUCCUGUGGAGAGAAGCCGUGCUGUCUAAAGUGUCAAAUCAGAAUGUUAACUCUCAUCUGGGUGAUUCUGCUGUUCGCUGAUAAAGGUUUGACUAGGAGCACUCCUCCAGUCUGUACAAAGAGCAAAGACAAUGUCACGUUAAGUCAAAUAAAUAUAACAGCAGAGGCUGGACUAUAUGCAGUGUUACCAUGUUCUUUUACUACAGACGAUGGGUUUGAUGCCAAAAGUAUAACUUUGUACAAACAUGGUAAAACAAUAUUUGACUCCAGUGAUGAUCAAAAAAACAACUCUGAGUUUCAAAGGCGAGUCUCACUACUGGAGUCUGACCUGAAGAUGAAGAACUGCAGCGUCAUCAUUAAUGACCUCACCGAGACAGACUCUGGAUCAUAUCAAGUCAGAGUGUCUGAUAACAAGACGGAGCAUGGCUGCACAUUGAAGUUCACAGUCACAGUUACAGAUCUUCAGGAACUAAAGAUCAGUGGAAGUACAGUUGUGAAGAAGGGUGCUACCCUUAAUCUAACUUGCAGUGCUGACAGUUUCAUUGCAUCUUCUAUCAACUGGAUUAAAUCUGACUCCAACAAAAACUUGAACAGAAAAAAUGAAAAUAAAAACACAAAAGGCAAUGGGUCAGCCUCGCUUACCAUUUUUAAUAUGACACCAGAACUUUCUGGACAGUACAAGUGUAUAGCAACACACAAGAACAAAAACAUUACGAAAACCAUUGAUGUAAAAUUAUUUGCAGCUGGUCCAAGAAUUUUGAAUAGCUCUGGGUGUGAGGUUCAAUCAGAGGUCCUGAGCUGUAUGUGCAUCAGUGAGGAGUUUCCUCCACCCACCAUAAAAUGGCCACAUUUAAAGAGCCACACUGAGUACUCUGUAACAACCAACGUGUCAAACGCCAGAGUCACCAGCACCAUCACUGUGUUUCUAAAACACUAUCACUACACCACUAUUGAGUGUGUCACCAGUAAAGAUAAUGAGCAUAUAAAGAAUGAAGAUGUAUUCAAACAAAGAAAUGAAGAACCAAAAGUUAAGACUGCAGCAUUGAGGGGGUUUCUGAUUGGGGUCAUUGUUUUAGCAAUCAUUGGUUUUUUGGUAACACGAUGCUACAGAAAAAAUCAGAGUUCUGAAAACCUGUCUGAAGACCUGGACGUGGUGACCACUGACGCUGUUCCACUGAUGGAUGCUGAUAAAGCAGCAACAAAUAAUAGGAUCCAUGAACCAGGCAAAGUUAAAAGAGAAGCUGAGUCUACUGCAUAAUCAGUGCCCGUUAGUGAUGUGGGACCAAAAGAGGUUGAGUACUCUGACACUGACUUCUCUGUGAUAAAGAGGCAUAGAAGAUACAGGAUACCAGAGAAAUGGAGUAUGCUAAAAUUAAGACAAAGAAGAGAAAAUGAUGGGGUGUCUGCCUUUUUGUUUGAUUAUAGUUUUCUCUUGUUUUUCUUCGUUACCAACUCCUUUUUAGUGUCAAAUAACUCAACGAACUAACGCAUUAAUGUUGUGGUUUGGCCACCCCUAGAUGGGCCAUAACAGGUGGACAGUGCCAGAAGGCUGAUUGGUGUGAUCAGUCCUCAUAUUUCAGUUGCCAGCUGGGACCAGAGAAAGGAAAGCUGCACUAGCAACAAGUCAGCUGAACAGCUGCACAGUGCAAUUUUAAAAAGUUGCAGAUGAAACGUAACCAGCCCUUUAACAGCCUGUACAUGUGGGUCCUUUGUGUCACAGAUUAUUAUUAUUUUAUUUUGGUUUUGCUUUGCUGCUGGUAAAUUGCUUUAAUAAAAU
ensembl:lncRNA